UUGGCUCACUUCUAAGAGACCAAGAUGGAAGGUCAUACAAGCGUCGUAGAAUACAUGAAAAUGAAAUGCACUGGCCAUACCUAUUAUACAUGGUAGCAUGAACAACUUACAUGUGGGAAACAAUGGUGUUGAAGAUAGUUGUUUCCUAUCCAAAUGCCAUUGGAUUGCCUCAGUUUUGGAAAUUCGAUCCGAGAACGUUUUGUUUAAGGCUUCUGGGACUUUUUCUCUAACUGGUUCACUAUCAACGCUUUCUGUCGUGUUACACUCGUCAGAAUUCCCUUCAUCAUCAGUAUGUUUAACAGCGGGUUCAACAUCUUUUACACUUCGUGUUACUUCACGCAACACCUGUUGAAGAUAAUAAGACACAUUUACAUGCAUUUCCAGGUUGUGCAUACAAACUUGUGUAAUUUAACUUGUAUAAUUUUGUACU